rnacentral:rRNA from 1 species
CAGAGGGGGCAAGCGUUAUUCGGAAUUAUUGGGCGUAAAGGGCGCGUAGGCGGCUUUUCAAGUGACGGGUGAAAUCCCUCGGCUUAACCGAGGAACUGCCUGUCAGACUGGAAGGCUUGAGACCGGGAGAGGUGAGUGGAAUUCCCAGUGUAGCGGUGAAAUGCGUAGAUAUUGGGAGGAACACCAGUGGCGAAGGCGGCUCACUGGACCGGAACAGACGCUGAGGCGCGAAAGCGUGGGGAGCAAACAGGAUUAGAUACCCUGGUAGUCCACGCCGUAAACGAUGAGUGCUUGGUGUAGCGGGUAUCGACCCCUGCUGUGCCGAAGUCAACACAUUAAGCACUCCGCCUGGGGAGUACGGUCGCAAGACUG